rnacentral:rRNA from 1 species
GACGUUAGCGGCGGACGGGUCGAGUAACACGUGGGUAACCUACCUAUAAGACUGGGAUAACUUCGGGAAACCGGAGCUAAUACCGGAUAAUAUUUCGAACCGCAUGGUUCGAUAGUGAAAGAUGGCUCUGCUAUCACUUAUAGAUGGACCUGCGCCGUAUUAGCUAGUUGGUAAGGUAACGGCUUACCAAGGCAACGAUACGUAGCCGACCUGAGAGGGUGAUCGGCCACACUGGAACUGAGACACGGUCCAGACUCCUACGGGAGGCAGCAGUAGGGAAUCUUCCGCAAUGGGCGAAAGCCUGACGGAGCAACGCCGCGUGAGUGAUGAAGGUCUUCGGAUCGUAAAACUCUGUUAUUAGGGAAGAACAAACGUGUAAGUAACUGUGCACGUCUUGACGGUACCUAAUCAGAAAGCCACGGCUAACUACGUGCCAGCAGCCGCGGUAAUACGUAGGUGGCAAGCGUUAUCCGGAAUUAUUGGUCGUAAACCUCGCGUAGGCGUUUUUUUAAGUCUGAUGUGAAAACCCACGGCUCUACCGUGGAGG